rnacentral:rRNA from 1 species
GACGGGUGAGUAAUGCCUAGGAAUCUGCCUGGUAGUGGGGGAUAACGUCCGGAAACGGGCGCUAAUACCGCAUACGUCCUGAGGGAGAAAGUGGGGGAUCUUCGGACCUCACGCUAUCAGAUGAGCCUAGGUCGGAUUAGCUAGUUGGUGGGGUAAAGGCCUACCAAGGCGACGAUCCGUAACUGGUCUGAGAGGAUGAUCAGUCACACUGGAACUGAGACACGGUCCAGACUCCUACGGGAGGCAGCAGUGGGGAAUAUUGGACAAUGGGCGAAAGCCUGAUCCAGCCAUGCCGCGUGUGUGAAGAAGGUCUUCGGAUUGUAAAGCACUUUAAGUUGGGAGGAAGGGCAGUAAGUUAAUACCUUGCUGUUUUGACGUUACCAACAGAAUAAGCACCGGCUAACUUCGUGCCAGCAGCCGCGGUAAUACGAAGGGUGCAAGCGUUAAUCGGAAUUACUGGGCGUAAAGCGCGCGUAGGUGGUUCAGCAAGUUGGAUGUGAAAUCCCCGGGCUCAACCUGGGAACUGCAUCCAAAACUACUGAGCUAGAGUACGGUAGAGGGUGGUGGAAU